rnacentral:rRNA from 1 species
GAUGAACGCUGGCGGCGUGCCUAAUACAUGCAAGUCGAGCGAACGGACGAGAAGCUUGCUUCUCUGAUGUUAGCGGCGGACGGGUGAGUAACACGUGGAUAACCUACCUAUAAGACUGGGAUAACUUCGGGAAACCGUAGCUAAUACCGGAUAAUCUUUUGAACCGCAUGGUUCAAAAGUGAAAGACGGUCUUGCUGUCACUUAUAGAUGGAUCCGCGCUGCAUUAGCUAGUUGGUAAGGUAACGGCUUACCAAGGCAACGAUGCAUAGCCGACCUGAGAGGGUGAUCGGCCACACUGGAACUGAGACACGGUCCAGACUCCUACGGGAGGCAGCAGUAGGGAAUCUUCCGCAAUGGGCGAAAGCCUGACGGAGCAACGACGCGUGAGUGAUGAAGGUCUUCGGAUCGUAAAACUCUGUUAUUAGGGAAGAACAGAUGUGUAAGUAACUGUGCACAUCUUGACGGUACCUAAUCAGAAAGCCACGGCUAACUACGUG